AGGUCAUUUUGAAGACAAUUCCUUAGCAACCCCUUAUAACGCUCUCAUGCCUCAUAAAGUGAUUCACCUGGAAUUGCUCAAAGUUGGCUAUUGCCUUUUUGAGUUU